GGGGGUGUUUUGGCUUCGACAGAGAUGGUGUAGUAAAAGAUGCAGGCAGGUUUGCUGAUACCUUUAAAACGGCACCUAAAUUUAAUUGCAGAUGAAAAUCUAGCAUUAGCUGCCUAAUAUAGGCAGUAAGUUCCUUAUUUCUUUGUCUGUGAGAAAUAAGGAAUUUCAUAUAAGCAGGCUUUUUUUCUACAGGUAGCCUGACCUGUAGGAAAGAAAUAAACAGGGCUCGAUGCAGGUAGGUUUGUUUGUUAACCCCUGCAUUAAAGAUAAAAACAAACUAAGCUUGUAGAUUCUUUUGUGAACCAUUUCUGGACGUGGGUUCGAAUCCCACCACCUCCAUUU
rnacentral:tmRNA from 1 species